rnacentral:rRNA from 1 species
CUGGCUCAGGAUGAACGCUAGCUACAGGCUUAACACAUGCAAGUCGAGGGGCAGCAUUGUCGAAGCUUGCUUGACAGAUGGCGACCGGCGCACGGGUGAGUAACGCGUAUCCAACCUUCCCCUUAGUAGGGCAUAGCCCGUAGAAAUGCGGAUUAAUACCCUAUGUUGUUCGAUGCGGACAUCUAAGUUGAACCAAAGGUUUACCGCUAAGGGAUGGGGAUGCGUCCGAUUAGGCAGCAGGCGGGGUAACGGCCCACCUGGCCAACGAUCGGUAGGGGUUCUGAGAGGAAGGUCCCCCACAUUGGAACUGAGACACGGUCCAAACUCCUACGGGAGGCAGCAGUGAGGAAUAUUGGUCAAUGGGCGAGAGCCUGAACCAGCCAAGUAGCGUGCAGGAAGACGGCCCUAUGGGUUGUAAACUGCUUUUAUACAGGGAUAAAGUCGGGGACGUGUUCCCCGUUUGCAGGUACUGUAUGAAUAAGGACCGGCUAAUUCCGUGCCAGCCGCAGC